CGAAUCCAGACACCAUAUGCCAUGCGAAGGCCUAUUACUUUAUUCGGUGCCACCGCUGACAGGCAGCCACGUGGGUAUCCCCAGCGGAAGGGCUGUCUCCUCCCGGCGGCGAGGACAGGAACCCAGUGAGCUGAACACAUCCGACAUUGUACGGAGCAGCAGGAACAGCUGGUAAGCUAGCAAGCGGCAACGGCCCAGCGAGGAGCGUGGAUGCUAAUGAGCCUGGCGACAAUGCCGGCCUUCAGAGGGGUUUACCAAAGGCUCUUUUCCGCUGAAAGUCGUUUACUUUUUCUGAAUGCUCCUUUCUUCCAUCAAGUCCCUGUGACGCCUAUUCACCCUCCAAUUGCCAGGUCACAGGCCCUCUGUGGGACGCCUUGAGGCUCUGGGCUGCACUCUGCAUCACAGCCAUGAGGAAACUGUGCACUGCUCUCUUCCCUAAUGUGCUCUGUAUUCAACAAAGAGCCCCUCCAGGGUGGGCACCGGGCCUUCCAUUUGUGCACCCACAGCAACAGCACAGUGCCUGGCAUACAGGAAAUGGCCGAUGGGUAUUUUGUUGAAUGAAUGAGUACACUAACGAAAAAAAUGCUUUUGGACUUUUCAGAAUUGGUGUCUAGGAAUAUGAAUGAGAUUAUCAGAUUAUCAGAAUCAGUUGAUUAUUUUUUGUCAAGAUUUUUUUAAGCCCUAAGUAAAAGACAUUUUACUGAAUGAUCAUCUCCAGCAAGAAAUGCACCUUGCACCUCUAUAUCGUAGGGCAGGAUGUGUGUAAAUAUGAGAGAGAACUACCUGGUUCUUGGAGAAAAACUUGUUUCUCAGAAGUUUUCCUGUGAGCUAAGCUCAACUUAAGGGGUUCUCCGAAGGUGUUAUCUGUACUCUGUGAAAAAUGGAAAGGAUGCAGUGGCCUGUGAGGUGCAGAUUAGUGAAAGUGGCCUUAAAGGUGAGAUGAUCAGCAUAGAGUUUAAAAGGCCACAGAGCUCGAAACAAAGAUUACAUCCCAGGAGAGACCUUUGUGUAAAAUACAGUGUGUCAUUCACUAAUGAAUUUGAGCAUGUCUGAAUUUGGAAACCAGUCCUCUCUGACCGGCAGGCAGCUGCUGAGGCUCUCGCACACAGCAGGCAUGACACUCGUGGCUCUAUUGGCCACUGCUGCCUGCUCCUUAUAGGACCAGCACACAACAGUGGCCAGAAACCCUGGUUCAAACUUGUCUCCCACAUAUUUGCUUUCUUCAGAUCAGCCCUUAACUUUACGUUGUAUCCUGAAAUCCACAGAUAAAAUCAAGAUAACUAGAUAUGGGAAUGGAAUGAGGAUUGGAAGCCAGGUAAAGAACUGAAGAGGCUUUUCCUGACUCCCCACUCUGCCUUCCAAGGAUGCCACAGGGGUAGUUCCAAAGCUAAUCCCUAGGGGAAGCUCCUUUGGCCUCAGUGGUCCAGGGAAAGACAGAUCUUCACUCUCCAGCCUCUCACUUGGUCACAGCCAUUCAAAGACGGUAGUGACAUCCAAUGUUCAUUGUCUUCUAAUGAUGUUUUGUGGGAAAGUACAUGCUAGAGUAAGAAUGCUCUUCAGUUACUGGCAUUUCAAAUAUAUAUAUAUUUUUAAAGUUUUAAUGUUUUAAAAAUACCCAGACUAGAAAUAAUUACAGCACAAAGCCCAGGUCUGUAGUGACGCAGUGAUGGUCUGGAGCAGCACCAGGGAGGGCUGGUACAAAGUCUGAGAAGGGAAUGAAUAUCUGUCUGUAAUUCACACAUGCAUACACAAACACAAACACAUGUCCAUUUCCCUGAAUCAAGUUUCAGAGGAAUGGUGAUCCAUGACGGAGAUUAUAAAAAGUACACAUUACAAACAGAAUGUGUCCCUAGGAAGGGUGUUACGAAUCUAAGCCCCGGAGCUGCUGCCUCCACAGUCCCGUGUAAUGCCACCUAAGUGCUCUGCCUCGCAUGACUUGCUGCAGGCUGCCACGGAUUAGAGCUAUCGAUCGCUGCCUGCAGAAGGGUCUCGCUGUGCGAAAGGAAGGUGAGCGCUAGAGACAGACAGCUCAAGUAUCGAUCUGCUCUGGCAGAAGGCCGUGGUUCCAGAUGCAGAGUGGCACUCCUUCACAUCACCCAUGAGUUACUAUAACGUGCACGGAAACACUAAAGAGCUGGGGGAUCGGGCCAAAGGCUGGAAUGUCAUCACCACCUCCUCGCCUGUCAGCUGGUCACGAGAUCCAAAGAUGCCAUGUGAAAUCUCUGGCUGUUUAAAAAACACAGGCAACAAAAGCCUAGGACGGGCAUUCCUAUGGUCUUCCAAGGCAGAACGGACAAACCACUGCCACAGAGGACUGCCAAGGGUCAUGUUAAGAAGUGGUCAGAGAAUGUGGAUACAUCUUUAAGAAUGUUCCUCCAGCGGCUGAGAGGUUCACCAGAGCCAUCAGGCCGGCUCUUACUAUAAAAAGACACAAUCCUUUUCCCCACUAAAAGCUGAUGCCUUCCCCUACUUAAAGCAAAACAUUAAAAAAAUUGGUCCAAACGGACAUUCUCCUUAAAGAAAUCUCAAUGAUACAAUUUAUAUGGUUUUCAAAAGAUUUUGGGGGAGACAACUUCCAAGGCACAAAGACAUAAACUCAUCUAAAAAGUCAAAUACAAUUAUGAGGUACAUCAAAACUCAUGAUUUUUGAAAGCAAUAUAAAAUUAGGAUUCAUGAGACCAAGUUAAAGUGAAAAUAAGGAGCUCAAGGAAAUCAAGUGUAACAGGAACAAAAUGCACGCUUUCAACACUUGCUUCUGUGGACACAGGAGCAGAGUGAACUCUAUUGCUUUCAUGACUUAACUCUCUGGAUUUAGAAGUCAUUAUUUAAAUCAGUUAUCUUUUCAGUAUCCAUAUUAAGUCAUUUCCUCCCAUGCACAUUGUAAAGACAUCCUGUGGUGUAAUUACAUAAAUGGCACUAGAGUCUACUUUCCCCUAAUUAGAAAUUCCUUAAAAUGUUUGCAUUUCUGAUUUUAAUCCAACUAACAUCUACUGACUUCUUAUGAUGUUAGAUGCCGGAGACUGAAAGAUGAAUAACACAUAGCUUUACCUUUAAGGAGCUUGCUGACCAGUGGAGGGGCAGAUGCCUCAUAGUGAGCCCCUCACCCAGUGUGGUCAGUGCUACACCAGCUAUGGAAGACAGAGAGAAAUGUCCGUUGGCCUGUGGCCCUCCUUGGACAGGCAGGCUGCUGCUUAUCUCACAACAGGCUCACUCUCCUCCCUUGAAUCUAGGCUGGCCUUGUGACCUGCUGUGGCCAAAUAGUUCUGAGACUUCCAAAGUGCUAUUGUGAAGAAGCUGGCACCUCCACCUGGAUCUCUGGAGCCUGUAGCAGCCAUGUCAGAAGCCUGACUGCUGCGAGAAGACCCAAACUAGCCAAGUGGAGGGGCUGCUGAGCCAGGUAUGCCUGGCCAGCCCCAAGCUGUUCCAGCUAUGCCAAUGCAGGUGCCAGAUGUAAGAGACCCUGGGUAAGAACCAUCCAGCUGAGCCCAGUCAACCCACAGAACCAUAGAAGAGCCUCCCUCCACCAUUUUGCCUUUAAACAUUUCUGCAAAAAUCUUUAUAAAGUUCCUUUUUUUUUUUAAGUGACAGUGUCUGCAGGCUAUUCACCGGCACAAUCAUAUUGCACUACAGCCUAAACUCCUGGACUCAAGUGAUCCUCCCACCUCCUGAGGAGCUGGAACUUGCAACACCAUGUCCAGCUCUUGCAAAAAUCAUGAUGCUUAAUUUUGCAAGUUUGCAGACUCUCAUGUGAGAAGACAAUGUUAGGACUUCUAUUAAUAUUUAUCUUUUUAUCUCCAAUGAUGAACUCAAUUAAGCUUUACUGAAAUUUAACACGUGCCUGACACUUGCACCCUUCUUGCUAGGUCAUCUAUCAGACUGUCCUAGGUCAGGUUCAAUGUAUGAGCUGUACUAAGAAAGAGAAGGAGAGGGAGCGAGGGGCUGGCAGUAGAGCCCUCAUUUACUUUCAGCACAGGGAGAGGUACCAUGGUUUACAUGAGCCUCCAAACUGAAGUGUUGAACUUUAUUAUCCUAUAAAUCGUAUUAUCUUUACAAUUCACUGUUCUGAGGCAGAGCAUGAACAUGGAAAUCUUUUGUCGCACACACGAGUUUGCCAUUUAUCUCACAGGAAAGAUCUUAUAAAAGCUGAAAUUUGAAUAUAAAGAUGAGUUGCUCAUUUUUCUUUUUUAUGGAAAGACAAAUGUCCUAAAUUUGGUGACCUUUUCUGUGAUGACAAGGAGCUGAAUUCGUUCAUUCGGCGUGUACUCACUGAAAAAAUAUUUACUCUGCAGCAGGUGCUGAGGCUACAUCCAGGGUUGGUAUUCACCUGGAAAACACCCGCAUGGCUGGCGUCCUGGUCAGUGCCAAACUGGUGUCCUUAUGUACCCACUGUUAAAUAUUUCCACUCUCACCCUUGGAGGCACCAGUGAACAAAGCAGACAGAAAUCUCUGCCCUCACGCAGGGGGCACGGUGUGAGUAAAAUCAGUGAAUUACAUAGUAACUGAGAGGGUGAUAAAGGCUGUGGGAACACACAGCAUGGGCAGCCCAGGCAGUGCUGGGAGGUGUGGGUGCACAUGUGUGCGGGGCUCUCGCAUAGGGAGACAGUGAAGAGGGGCCAAGGGAACAUGCCACGUGGGCAUCUGGGGAGCAGUAGAGGCAGGGGGCAUGGAGGGCACAGGCCUCCCCUGAAGGCCUGGAUGCUGAGGGAGGCAGGGCCCCUGGUGAGGGUGAGCUGGCAGUGACGUGGCUGACUCACACUUUAGUCGCUGGCCCUGGCUGAUGCUCCGAGGAGACUGGGGAGGAGGCCACGGUCAGCAAUGCGCCCUUAGCCAUUCCUUUAGGAAGAAAGAUACUGCUCCCACAAAAGAAAAGGAGAGCGCUGACACUGAGUGAGAGAGUAACUGCUAUUUGAAAGAAACAUGCUGUAAAGAGAAAGCCUUCAAUUGAGAUGUUGGAAAAUGUUGCCUUCAGCAUGGGAAUUUAUUGUCGAAGAUGGUUUCUGUUUUCAGAAAGCACUCAUAUCUCUACUAUCAAAACACUCAUAAACAGAAUUUUAUUUGUUUCUAAACUUCCAAAUAAGAGCUGAGUACAUUUUGAAUCUGUUUGUCCAAAA
rnacentral:lncRNA from 10 species